AGGGUUCUUGUUGUUGGGGUCUCUAUUUGGCCUUUAGAAUUUCCAUGAAAGCCCUGAUUGGACCACAUGUGAAGAAAAGAGGCCUGGAGGGGUUGAUCAGACACUGUCUUGGAAACCCGGAGGCAAAGCUUCUACCGUUUCAGUCCUUGUUCCCUGCUUGACAUAUGAGCGUCAAGGAUGUGUGGAUGGGGAAGCCUGGGGCAGCCGUCCUCCUCCAUAUGUGCAGAGACAGAGGUUCAGCACGAGCUCAUGUGAAGGAACAUGUUAAUUGUAACAAAAAUGAAUCCUUGACUAAGACAAAAGCAGCUUCAAUAUUGUUCCGAUAAAAGCUCCAUUCCUACCAUUGUCUGCAUGGAGACCUUGGCAGCCAGGACUGUCCCCUCUCACAGCCUUCCCGAGUUCUUAUCUUCUUAGCAUCUUUCAAACAGAGCACCUUGGGCCAGCUACACUAAUGAUCACGGCAGGGGGAUGUUUACCUGUUCAGCAUAACCACUUACAAUAAUGAGGACGGAGAUAAGGUUGUCCAUGGUUCACAGACAAAGAGCCCAUAACUCCUCCUUUAUACUAAUGAGAGAUACUACUCCCUGGAGUCUAACGAGAUCAGAGCGGAAGUGGAUGCCAUGUUUUGGACUGGACAGCCUCUACGUGAAUGAAUACACCAGUGUGAUGAGAAAGUGAACAAGCUUUUUAAAAAAUAAUUAUGAUUUUGAGUAUUGUGUUGCACCUGAGAAGCUGCAGAGAUAACUGGGACACCGUGUUAAGAUUCCGUUCUGUUCUGGGUACCUUGUUCUUAUGUAAUCGGCAUAGGAGAGUCAGUAUUUGUAAGCCUUUUAUCCUGAAGUAAUAGUUCCCCUCUAGAUUUGGAUGGAAAUCGGGGAGCAUGUUGGGACACCACAGAAUGGCUUGCUGAGAGAUGCUGCGGAUGUAUUUGCUGCAAGGUUCCUCCUGGCAUCCCCAAAGAAGGAAAGACACCCUGUGCCUGGCUUGCUGCCUCCGCAGCUAGUGGUUUGCUUAGUCAGGAACAGCUCCCAGCACAUCCCAAGACUGAACCUCAACUCGUCGAUGCUUGUAGAAGCCAAGUCAGCCAUUGGUGGAAUUCUGGAAUUGACUCCGAUGACGUCCUGCGGACCACAAAGCUCAUACAACCAACUGUGGACUCGGUCUGACUUCAGGAAGGAAAGACAGUGGGACAUGCCACCUCCUGCCUGCUCUUCUCUACUUGCCUGCAGGCCUCAAGUGAUUGCCACUGUGGAAUGUGGCUGAACAUAGUAAAGACAUGGAGGCUCAUUGAAAAUGUUGUGUGUGACCCAGAAACACCCAGCCCCGUAUGUGCUUCUUCAUGCAUCUCCAGCCUUAAGAAGAAAAAUGUAUGUGCUUGAGCUUUCUUUUCUUAAUUAAUAGGAGUUAAGAUUUAUUGAACAACGUGCUUCAUAUACUUUAUCUUCUUUUAAUGCACAACCACUCAGUGAUAUAAACAUCACUACUCAUUUUUCAGUUGAGGCUUGGCAAAAAAACCCAAAAAAACAAAGAGAAGAGUGUCACUUCGAGUGUCUGCCUCUCAUUCUGGAUGUAUCUUGACCAGGGUAUUCCAUGCCGUUAGCCUUGUUUCCUUUGGUAGUGAGGAAGGGGCAAGGAGAUAGCUAAGUAGCAAGAGAUAAGAUGAAGAACUGCACUCUCCUGCUCUGUUUUCUUACCAUGCACGACCUACUGCUAGCAGCUCGUAACAACAUUCUCCCCUGAGAAUAGGCAUAAACGUCAGACUUGGUGGCUGAGGCCUCCACGUAUAACACGCAUCCACCUUGAUCUUCUACUUCUUGCGGCUUCAGACAUCCAACACUCAGUUAUCCGCACUUAGAUUUUUAAUUCCAGAUGGUUUCAUCUCAACACCCAGAGAAAUUGAGAGCUAA